rnacentral:rRNA from 1 species
AUCGCCCGCUUUCUUCCUUCCUUACACAUGCAAGUCGAACGGCAGCACGGGUGCUUGCACCUGGUGGCGAGUGGCGAACGGGUGAGUAAUACAUCGGAACAUGUCCUGUAGUGGGGGAUAGCCCGGCGAAAGCCGGAUUAAUACCGCAUACGAUCUACGGAUGGAAGCGGGGGACCUUCGGGCCUCGCGCUAUAGGGUUGGCCGAUGGCUGAUUAGCUAGUUGGUGGGGUAAAGGCCUACCAAGGCGACGAUCAGUAGCUGGUCUGAGAGGACGACCAGCCACACUGGGACUGAGACACGGCCCAGACUCCUACGGGAGGCAGCAGUGGGGAAUUUUGGACAAUGGGCGAAAGCCUGAUCCAGCAAUGCCGCGUGUGUGAAGAAGGCCUUCGGGUUGUAAAGCACUUUUGUCUGGAAAGAAAUCCUUGGCCCUAAUACGGUCGGGGGAUGACGGUACCGGAAGAAUAAGCACCGGCUAACUACGUG